GGUCAGGGAAAGAAGGUGCUGAGAGGCCAAGCGAAGAGAGGAGACCCGUCGUCCGUCUCCAGCCGCAUCUCCUGCCGCUCCGCCUGGAUCCCUGUCGCUCCUGAUACACAGCGGUCUUCCGCCCAAGGCCCCGCACAGCUGGGGAGUUUUCCAGACCCGGGGAUCCUGCAGAGCCAUGGAUAUACCUCCGUAAAAUCAGGUAAAACAAGGGAUGCCAGAAAGUCCAGCUUCUACCACAUCUUUGGCUUCUUCCUGGAAUAUAUCUUAGAAGAGAAUAAAGUUGGAGAGAAGGAUGUCCCCAUGUUAACAAAACAUGAACUGUUACAUUGGCAAUUUAUAAUAGCUAACAUUUAUUGAGCACUUAAUAUGCACCAGGCAUUGUUCUAAAUGCUUUACAUGAAUUAACAUGUUUAAUUCUUAUCAAGGGAAAAUUGUUAUUACCCUCAUUUUACACAUGGUAGAAGUGAGGCCCAUCACUGGAAAGAAGGCAGCAAAGUCCGGAGCUGUCAUCAUCUCUGUCCAUCAGCCACAGGCCCAGGUGCUGAAGUGGGGCAGUAGCUGCCACACCCACAGCAAUUCAGUUCAGUGUCCUAGGUUUCUCUGGGCUCCUGCUCCAGGUAUCACAAGCAAAUACAAAGUGGAGGUUUUACAGAAGGAAAUGUGAAAAGAAAACACACAAAAAGCACAAAAAUAAAAAUAUUGGCAGAAAA